ACUGAAUAGAUACCGUGGUAGUCCAUGCUGUAAACGAUGAGAACUAGAUGUUAGGGGCGAUGACCUCUUAGUAUCGAAGCUAACGCGAUAAGUUCUCCGCCUGGGGAGUACGGCCGCAAGGUUAAAACUCAAAGAAAUUGACGGGGGCCCGCACAAGCGGUGGAGCAUGUGGUUUAAUUCGAUGCAACGCGAAGAACCUUACCUACCUUUGAAUCCACGGAACCUAGCAGAGAUGUUGGGGUGCCUUCGGGAACCGUGAGACAGGUGCUGCAUGGCUGUCGUCAGCUCGUGUCGUGAGAUGUUGGGUUAAGUCCCGUAACGAGCGCAACCCUUGUCCUUAGUUGCCAUCAGGUUAUGCUGGGCACUUUAAGGAGACUGCCGGUGAU
rnacentral:rRNA from 1 species